GAUGAACGCUGGCGGCGUGCCUAAUACAUGCAAGUCGAGCGAACAGACGAGGAGCUUGCUCCUCUGACGUUAGCGGCGGACGGGUGAGUAACACGUGGAUAACCUACCUAUAAGACUGGGAUAACUUCGGGAAACCGGAGCUAAUACCGGAUAAUAUAUUGAACCGCAUGGUUCAAUAGUGAAAGACGGUUUUGCUGUCACUUAUAGAUGGAUCCGCGCCGCAUUAGCUAGUUGGUAAGGUAACGGCUUACCAAGGCAACGAUGCGUAGCCGACCUGAGAGGGUGAUCGGCCACACUGGAACUGAGACACGGUCCAGACUCCUACGGGAGGCAGCAGUAGGGAAUCUUCCGCAAUGGGCGAAAGCCUGACGGAGCAACGCCGCGUGAGUGAUGAAGGUCUUCGGAUCGUAAAACUCUGUUAGUAGGGAAGAACAAAUGUGUAAGAAACUAUGCACGUCUUGACGGUACCAAAACAGAAAGCCACGGCUAACUACGUG
rnacentral:rRNA from 1 species